GCCAUCCGGAGCCUACAUCGUCAGUCUUCACCCAGCAGUUCAUCGAGUAAGAUGGAACUUUCUCUGUGAACUAAAACUGGAAAGACUCGACCAGUUGACCCAAUUUUUGGUUUGUGGGUCAACUUUAAAAAAUUCUUUCCGUGUAUUUCUUGUUAGUAGGUCGGGUGGAUUCGGUAGUUAACUGAAGAGUCCACUCGACCGACUACUGGAAAUGCACCAAAGAAUGUAUGAAUCCUGCACAGAUUGGUGUGUUUGAGCGUUUCAUCCGCUUGCGGAAACGCACACGACACUUUGAAAAAUGGGUCCAACACAUUGCUUGUCCCAAUUUCGAUCAAAAUUCGAUGCUCAAGUUUCUUGUCACAUCAGGGAGCGUUCGACAUCCAGCUGCCCAUAGCUCGAUAAAUUUUUCCAUCUCCUUAGUUGAGAUAAAUUUUUAAUAAGGGUUACAUUGAAUGGGUCGGGGGGGAUUGUUGAUUUCUAGCAAACUACUAGAUUUUUAAACAUUAUGUCAGCUACUUAUUUGAAGAAGACUUGCAACCAAAAUAUGUCAGCUUCUGCUUUGAAGAAGAAAGAAAAAAUCUUCAACAAAUUCAGGAAUGGGGUGUUACACCGCAUUCAAGAAAAACCCGACGCAAAAAAGUUGUUUAAUUCCGCAACUCUAGUUUCUAGUCGAAGGAAACGAAGUGCAACAAACAAGGGGAGGGGGGUUUACACAAAUGAGAAAGCAACAUGAAAAUGAGCAAUUUUCAAAGAGUGGUAACCAUCGCGAUUAAAGAACGCGAUCGAUGUUUCAAAAACCGCAGUAGAAUUUAGUCAAUUUUACUUUUAUCGAAGAGAAAAAUAGCAUGGUUUCCAAAUCUUUAAGCUUCAAGAUUGGUCUACAAUUUAAAAAGAAGCUUUUCAAAAAAAAAAAAUAACACUUUCAGGGUUACUCCACAUGCAAUAGAAUUUAAUCGAAUCUAUAACACCAAGCAACACGAUAGGGGACUGUAAAACAAAAUAAUAAAAAGACUUAGAAGAUUUUUGAAACAAAAAAUAAUAAAAGUACUUUGAUGGCUAGACCCGAAAAAUAAUAAAAGGACUUAGAAAAUUUCUGAAGUGAUGACUGGUGUAAUCGAGGAAAAGAAAAAUGUGUAAGCUGAACAUUUCCAUAGUCGAUCAGACGAACUUCGCCAGAAUCAGAAUCAGAAUUAAAAUCAGAUUCAACAUCAGAAAAACAGUUUUUGGAGAAUAAGGAUCGGUCGUUUUAUACGUCCAAGAGAGAGAAAAAAUCAGAUUUCGUUCACCUAAUAACUUCCUUGGGUAGAGUUCCGAAGGUUAAAGAGGACAGUAAAAGAAAAAUGGGUAACAUAUUGAUGACAUGUUUCUCUAAAGAAACAGAAGAAAGGAGAAAACUGGUACACAUUUUGUACAUGUUUCCCUAGCGAAAAACGUGAAGUUGUCACGGGACACAUUGGGUAACAUAUUGAUGACAUGAUUUUCUGUCACAACCGAAACGCCGUAAUGUUGCAAUCAAUUUGGGAAAGAAUUUCUAGGGGAUAUAUGUACAUAAUUCGGGUGUGAUUGCCGAACCAAAAAAUAAUAAAAAGACUUAGAAGAUUUUUGGAUUGAUAGCCAAAAGCCAAAACAAAAAAUAAUAAAAAGACUUAGAAGAUUUUUGGUUGAUAGAAUGAUAGCAUAUUGAUGACAUGUUUCUCUAAAGAAACAGAAGAAAGGAGAAAAAUGGUACACAUUUUGUACAUGCUUCUCUAGCGAAACGUGAAGGUGUCACAGAACACAUUGGGUAACUGGGGAAUUUCUAGGGGGAUAUACAUAACACAAAUCUGCACCAACCAGCAGGCAGCAGCUUCUCAAUUUAAUUGAAUUUCCGUGUCUUGAAAAAUUAUCGAUAAAGUUAAUUACAGAGUAGUUUCUCCAAAAAUCAAUACAGAAGACUUCAAGGGUUCUUCUUUGACUGAAUUUUAGCUCGGGACCUCUGGUCCAGUUGGGGCUGAAAUGAAAUAUUCCUAUUUCAUUCGAUGUUGAAUGACGCAACGUCGAGAGAAAAAAACGAGAGAAAAUAUUCACGGCACCUCGAACGGGAAUUUAUUUUUCCUAAAUCGGGGUUUUGUACGGGAAUGGGGUAAUUUUGACGAUGAGUGUAUUUAUAACGAUUAAGGGUAUUUCCGGGAUCCAGCUACUAAUGCGGCCGGUUAAAAAUAAAGAGAUCAACACACAACGAUCUUUAAUUCGGAGAGACCAAAUUCCUUAUCUAAAUCUGAAACCUCUUUAGGUAGACUACCAAGAGAGGGUAACUGUUGGUAAAUAACUUCAUCCACUGCAGUUCGAAAUAUGCACGUCGUCCUCAGCUCAGCAGAAAGAAAAAAACUUGGUAAAAAAAAAAAUAUUUUUGACCGUCAUUUUGAUGUUGCGAAUGAGAAAGCAAUUCCUAAAGUUUUUAUAUAAAAUAAUCAUCCUUGUCUGUAACAUGCUCAUGUAUUUUUCAAUAAAUUCAUUUCAUGGAACGUGUAAAUAUCUCUUUUAUUUUUCCUCGUCUCUUCGACUUUUUCGAAUAAGCGGGUACGGAUCAGAAAUUCAGAAUGCGGAACUCGCGCUUACUUAAAUCUAUUCGAAUUAACGCAGCAGUCUAAGUAUUGUACCAACUUGUCUACGGUAUUUAAAUAUUAAAUUAUUAGGAAAAUUUUAAUUGUUAUUAUAUUGUAGUAUUUCUUUAUGAAGUUAAAUUUAAGUUAUAAAUUUAUAAUUCAUCGCUUUAUUUUUAUCCACAGGUUCCGGCUAUCCUACAAAUGUUCAACCGUUAUGACGAUCGUCUAAUGUUUUUAAUUCAAUGAAAUCCGCGAGUUGAAAUACAAUUCAAGCCAAGUACAGACUUUUUCCUUUUUCUUGGAGAAAAUUACUUAUUCACGCUGUUUUUCGUUUUUCCAUAUUCGCGUUUGAUAAAAUGGCAGCACCGCUUACUAAACCUAUAUAUUAGAGAAGUUCGUCUGCACUCGUGCUGUUAAAGCAAAAAUAAAAAACUUAUCGAAACUUUUAUGUCACGUCGGCCGUUGGCUCAAACAGUACUACAACACAAAUAGUAAGCCGCUGAGCCGCCAACUCAGCAUUAAAGUUUCAGCCGUUAAAUUAUUCGACUAUAGUGAGCAUUUGAUAAGCAAGUUUUGUUUUGUUUCUCCAUCGUAGUAACUGUUUUAUCCAUGGAUGUCCCGUCCCUCUACACGUGGAGGAAACAAACCGGUCAAAUCCAGAAAAAGUUUAAAACAGCCCAGGAUCCCCGGAUCACAUAGGUGCUGAAAGAAGUGAGACAGAUACUGGCUACCAACACACAUUGACUGGCCACUUGAUGUAUAAGAUAUCAAGUGAAGUGGAUUUCUUGCUGAAACGUCAACCAUAUCUCUCAGCACUUUGCGACCAUCACUUUGCAGCUUCAGUGUCUUGACAGGUCACAAUUAAACUGGAUGACGACAUCUAUAAAUUGUAUGAAGAAACGCGGACGUCAUCUCCAAUAUAAAAUCAAAGUGUUUCGUCAGUAGUCAAAUGAUUUGCCUGUGAGUCUGUCUCCGUCGAGAGCCAGGCUUGUCACGGUCUAAUUGUUAGACAUUUCGUUUCUAGUUAGAGUAGCUGUAAAUUUAUUAAAUAUUCCAUUCGUUUAUUCAUGUAGGAUUCCGGAUUCGGUUGAUAUUUCGCUUUGCUUGGAAAUCCAUCCGUUCUGUGGUCCGCUGAUGCAGACCACUGAAAAGUGUGACAUGAUGGUGAUAGUGUCCAUUUGAAAAGGAGCGAAUUUUCCGACGUUUGCUCCGGAUGCUGAUGCUGAGCAAGAUGCUGAGCAAAAAUGUGUUGCUAUCUAAAGCGUGCUGUUUGAUUUUUUCAUAUUAAAAAUUAAAAAGGUUAUUCUUGUUUUGGAUUCCUUAAGCUACUGAGUGUGCAAUGUGUAAGUGUGCAUUUACAUAGGCUACUUUUCAUCCCACUCAUCCAUCUCAUGCGUUAGCGAAUCAUCCAAGAUGACAUCUGGUGCUUGACUGGGAAGUGAGCAGAGGAAAACAAUCUUUCGUUCGUUUGAUGCUUGAGGCUUUGAAUAUUCACGUUCUAUCCAGGCUGCUUUCUGACUGUUUCGUUUAUCUCAAAAUUUUCGACGGUUUUUUAAGAAGAGCAUCUCAACCAAUUGGCGGGUUCUUCCACUGAUAGCAGCCAACCUAUCUCAUCUCUCCUCUUCUUUGCAAUUUUGCAUCCUUGUGUACAUUCAUGGAUGCUGUGUUCGCAGAGAUGACCUUGUUCUUUUUGUCACUGAAUGGAACAUCAGGGGAUGCUAAGGAUUUCCCAGGAUUCAAGGUAGGACCCAGCAAGUAUUUGUCACUAUUUUUAUUGGAUGGUCUCUAGUAGUUAAAGAUAGCAAU
rnacentral:lncRNA from 1 species